GCCGGAGUGGCGGAAUGGCAGACGCGCUGGAUUCAAAAUCCAGUCCUGGCAACAGGGUGUGGGUUCAAGUCCCACCUCCGGUA
rnacentral:tRNA from 1 species